AAAGUCGUAACAAGGUUUCCGUAGGUGAACCUGCGGAAGGAUCAUUAUCGAAUGUUCAGAGGCGACUGCUGCUGGCUCCUCUAAUGAGGAUGCAUGUGCGCGUCCCUCGCCUUUCAUCCAACAUACACUUGUGCACUAUAGGACGAGUACCUCCCAUGAGGAGCCGCUCCACGUAACCUCUCUCACGAGGGGGGGUGGGGCCGAGGUCUCGAUCCUCUUAUACAUAACAUCCUGUCUCUAAUGCAUGUAACGAUAUUUUCUUAAACGAAAUACAACUUUCAACAACGGAUCUCUUGGCUUUC
rnacentral:misc_RNA from 1 species